rnacentral:misc_RNA from 1 species
GUAGCAUGGAUAGCACGCGUUUAUGACGUCAAACGCUACGGACAGUGACGUCAUCAUAAUUUUGAUAGCGCUAUCCAGCGUCUCCGCGAACAGCGGUAGUGCUGCGUAGCGCUAAUAGUGAGCUCCCCGAACGCACCCAAAGUAGCCAACAGCAGACGCUACAUGUUGAACGCGUGACGGAUAUGCGAAUGUUUUUCCAAGUUUUAUUUCACAGUUUCGGUUCACGAAUUCUUUCUCGUGAGAAUAUAACAUGAUAAACAUUACAUUUCUAACACGUGUAAUGAGAAUACACCUGUACUUACACGCGACACGCAACAGAAAUGGCAAAUUGCGCGAGAUAACCUUCUCGUACUGUGCACCUCAUGUUCGAAAGAGACGGUUGCAUUCAUCUUCAGCUGAUGGUCCUCCCUGGAGUGUAUUAUUUUUUGGCACAAAUGAAUUUUCUCUGGAGAGCUUACGAAGUUUGUACAACGAAUACAGAACCAAGAAACUCUGCCGGUUAGAAGUUGUAUCAGUAUGUAGAAGGGAGAAAAAGAACGUUGUCGUGCAGUACGCAGAGAAGAAGGGAAUCGUUGUUAAUGAAUGGCCUCUUGAGAACAAUCCACAAGGUUUUCACAUUGGGAUAAUUGUCUCUUUUGGCCAUUUAAUACCAUUAAAUAUUAUAAACUCUUUUCCACUCGGUAUGUUAAAUAUUCAUAGUAGUCUAUUGCCACGAUGGAGAGGAGCAGCUCCAACAAUUCAUUCCUUAAUUAAAGGAGACACACAGACAGGAAUUACAAUUAUGAAAGUGGCAGAAAAGUUUGAUGUUGGAGACAUAGUAACACAAGAAAAGGUAGAUAUUUAUGCAGAUGAAACUCGAUUAGAAUUGGAUAUGAAAUUAGCAAAGCUGGGUGCGAAUGUUUUGAUCGAUGUGAUGGAAAAGUUACCACAAAUAUUAUCUUCCUCGAGACCUCAAGGAAAAAUAGGCAUAACAUAUGCACCUAAAGUUACGUCAAAGACCUGUUUAGUGAAAUGGGACGAGAUGACAGCAAAGAAUGUUUAUGAUCUGCAACGUGCUCUUGUAGGAGUGUACCCGUUAAAAACCAAGUUAGAUGGUGUGACUAUAAAAUUGUUGGAUGUCCGGCAGACGUCAAAGCCGGAAGAUGGAAGAAAUGCGGAUGUACCAGGGUCGCAGUCGGCACAGUGCCACGAAUAGCCUCUCCUUUUCGGAGACUUUUUCACUGGAGGAUCUAAGCACAGUUUUGAGAUAAUUUGCCUAUAAUUUUAAGAUUGUUGUAAUUCGUGAUACUAACAUAACAAGAUUUUGGUUGGUGCCGGGAGUAUCACAGACGUUACACUGCGUCAUAAGCUGGAGGCGGCACAGGUGGCGGCGGCAAUGUAAUUUCAGUACUUGAAGUUGCCACGAACAUUUGUGGACUCGAUUCAGAGUCUGUGUGUCCUUCCGGACGACGGAUUGGUUUUAUCUGCAUUUAGUUAAUUAAUGUUAUCAAUACUUAAAUCAAUAUAGUGAUAAAAUAAAAUGAAAGAAAUGAAUA